rnacentral:rRNA from 1 species
GACGAACGCUGGCGGCGUGCUUAACACAUGCAAGUCGAACGAAGUGGCGAACGGGUGAGUAACGCGUAAUCAACCUGCCCUUCAGAGGGGACCAACAGUUGGAAACGACUGCUAAUACCGCAAACUGAAGGAGGGGAUUGCGUCUGAUUAGCUAGUUGGAGGGGUAAGGGCCCACCAAGGCGAUGAUCAGUAGCCGGUCUGAGGGGAUGAAUGGCAAAAUUGGGACGGAGACACGGCCCAGACUCCUACGGGAGGCAGCAGUGGGGAAUUGUUCGCAAUGGAGGAAAGUCUGACGGAGCAACGCCGCGUGAGUGAUGACGGCCUUCGGGUUGUAAAGAUCUGUUAAUCGGGACGCGGUACCGGAAUAGAAAGCCACGGCUAACUACGUGCCAGCAGCCGCGGUAAUUC